rnacentral:rRNA from 4 species
GUGACCCCAGGAUGGGCGAGGCCACCCGCCGAGUUUAA